rnacentral:misc_RNA from 1 species
GAUGAAGAACGUAGCGAAUUGCGAUAAGUAAUGUGAAUUGCAGAUUUUCAGUGAAUCAUCGAAUCUUUGAACGCACCUUGCGCCCUUUGGCCAUUCCGAAGGGCAUGCCUGUUUGAGUAUCAUGAACACCUCAACUCUUCAUGGUUUUCCGUGAUGAGCUUGGACUUUGGGGGUCUUGCUGGCCUAUGGUCAGCUCCUCUAAAAUAAAUCAGCUUGCCAGUGUUUGGUGGGUAUCACAGGUGUGAUAACUAUCUACGCUUGUGGUUUUCCACCAGGUAACCUUCAGCAGUGGAGGUUCGCUGGAGCUCACAGAUGUGUCUCUCCUCAGUGAGGACAGCUCUUUGAAUGUUUGAUCUCAAAUCAGGUAGGACUACCCGCUGAACUUAAGCAUAUCAAUAAGCGGAGA